ensembl:lncRNA
ACCAUGGAUGUUUUUUGACAGGGGGAGGAAACUGGAGUACCUGGAGGAAACCCUCACAGUGGCAGGAAUCAAACCACCAACCCUGGAGAUUCAUAAUAUAGGACUUGGAGAGAAAUGGAGGUCCACCAACAUCUACUGACGAAGGCACAAUCGACGUGGUGCUGGCAAACAUAGUCCCCUAUAUAUUGAGACAUUUGGGACAUCCUGUAUAUAAUGUUUAGCAAUUUUAUGCACAGCGACCUUAAACACACUGACAAGCUCUGUCUCUCUUAAAACUUUCUGCUGUCAUCUUGAUUGUUAAUAGUUAACAAUUGCGAACAAACCACCAAACAAACAAUAGUGAUUGUUAAUAGGUCUCCAAGAGGAAGAGAAUGCACAACUGGAUGAC